UACGAAGGGGACUAGCGUUGUUCGGAAUCACUGGGCGUAAAGCGCACGUAGGCGGAUUCGUAAGUCAGGGGUGAAAUCCCGGGGCCCAACCUCGGAACUGCCUUUGAUACUGCGGGUCUUGAGUCCGAUAGAGGUGGGUGGAAUUCCUAGUGUAGAGGUGAAAUUCGUAGAUAUUAGGAAGAACACCGGUGGCGAAGGCGGCCCACUGGAUCGGUACUGACGCUGAGGUGCGAAAGCGUGGGGAGCAAACAGG
rnacentral:rRNA from 1 species